rnacentral:rRNA from 1 species
AUGGCUCAGGAUGAACGCUGGCGGCGUGCCUAACACAUGCAAGUCGAGCGAUCUCUUCGGGAAGAGAGCGGCGGACGGGUGAGUAACGCGUGGGUAACCUGCCCUGUACACACGGAUAACAUACCGAAAGGUAUGCUAAUACGAGAUAAUAUGCUUUUAUCGCAUGGUAGAAGUAUCAAAGCUCCGGCGGUACAGGAUGGACCCGCGUCUGAUUAGCUAGUUGGUAAGGUAACGGCUUUACCAAGGCGACGAUCAGUAGCCGACCUGAGAGGGUGAUCGGCCACAUUGGAACUGAGACACGGUCCAAACUCCUACGGGAGGCAGCAGUGGGGAAUAUUGCACAAUGGGCGAAAGCCUGAUGCAGCAACGCCGCGUGAGCGAUGAAGGCCUUCGGGUCGUAAAGCUCUGUCCUCAAGGAAGAUAAUGACGGUACUUGAGGAGGAAGCCCCGGCUAACUACGUG